UCUUGCCUAUGUAACCAUUCAUGUCUCCUCUAAUAAAUAAUUUUUCUCUGUAUGGUAUGGCUUGCAUUGUCUUGUCUAAAUCUGCCCAAAAUUUUUACGUACUUUACUAAUCCAAACCUAUUAAAUCCCAACAACUAACAAUAAAAAGAAAAAAAAAAUAGCCAUUCUGGAAAAAAAAAUUACAAUUUUGACAUAUUAAAAACAAAUUCUAAUCAAUUGUUAUAGUCCCCCCUGA
rnacentral:lncRNA from 1 species